UACGUAGGUGGCAAGCGUUAUCCGGAAUUACUGGGCGUAAAGCGCACGCAGGCGGUCUUUUAAGUUUGACGUGAAAGCUCCCGGCUUAACUGGGAGAGGUCGUUGAAGACUGGAAGACUUGAGGCAAUGAGAGGGGUGUAGAAUUCCCGGUGUAGUGGUGGAAUGCGUAGAUAUCGGGGGGGAAUACCAGUGGCGAAAGCGGCACCCUAGCGUUAGCCUGACGCUCAUGUGCGAAAGUGUGGGGAGCGAACGGG
rnacentral:rRNA from 1 species